AUGGCAAUUGACCCUCUGUAUAGUCUUCUAGAGACUGCUGCAACGGAAGAAACAAUCGCACCGCUGCCGGGUUGUGGCAUCAGCCUGAGAAUCAGCUUAUACACGGAUGAUGCAGUCAUUUUUGCCAACCCAGAGAAUGAAGAGGUGGACACGCUGCUCUAUCUAUUAAACAGAUUUGGUGAGUCCACGGGCCUGAAGCCGAACCAAGCAAGGUCAUCGGUUAUUCCAAUUAAUUGUGGUGGGAUUUAGUUAUCUGAGGUGCUGAGAAACUUUGGAGGCCAACAAGCUGCUUUCCCGACUACAUACCUAGGUCUGCCGAUCUCCACAAGAAAGCUGAGACUAGUGCAUUUACAAUUCAUCACUGAUCGGGUACGCACGAGGCUCGUGGGAUGGAAAGGAAGAUUGAUGAACAUGGCUGGCAGGUGGGUGUUGGUGCGCGCGGUGCUAACAGCCCUUCUGGUUUUCACUACGACUGCCCUCAAGGUGCCAAAAAAGAUACUCAAGGAGGUGGACAAAGCACGCUGGCAGUUCCUUUGGCCUCAAGAUGAAAACGUAACAUGCGCCAAAUGCAAAAUGGUUGCGACAAAGUUUGCCGUCCUGUGGCCAAGGGGGGCUCAGCAUUCUGGACCUUCCUUGUUUCAGCACAGCCCUACGGAUGAGAUGGCUCUGGCUCUCCUGGCAGCAUUCGUGGAGACCAUGGAUGAACUUCCCUGCCCCGUGUGA
rnacentral:rRNA from 1 species